UUUUUGCCACACACACGGCUAUCUAUAAAUUUAUUUAUAAUUUUAUUUUUCUUGAGUAAUUAAAAAAAUAAAUAAAAAUCCUCCAGAUUUAUCAAUAAUUAUAAGCUUUUGUGGGCAGCACGGUGCCUUAGUGAUUAGCACUGCUGCCUCACAGCGAGAAGGUCAUGGGUUCGAUUCCCACCUGUGGCCUUUCUGUGUGGAGUUUGCAUGUUCUCCCUGUGUUUGCGUGGGUGCUCUCCGGGUGCUCCGCCUUCCUCCCACAUCCAAAGACACGUGGGUUAUGUGGACUGGAAACUUAAAUUUUCUUCCAGGUCUCCCAUG